rnacentral:rRNA from 1 species
AUUGAACGCUGGCGGCAUGCCUAACACAUGCAAGUCGAACGGCAGCACGGCAGUAGCAAUACUGUGGGUGGCGAGUGGCGGACGGGUGAGGAAUACGUCGGAAUCUGCCCAGUCGUGGGGGAUAACUAGCCGAAAGGUUAGCUAAUACCGCGUACGACCGAGAGGUGAAAGCGGGGGACCGCAAGGCCUCGCGCGAUUGGAUGAGCCGACGUCGGAUUAGCUAGUUGGAGGGGUAAAGGCCCACCAAGGCGACGAUCCGUAGCUGGUCUGAGAGGAUGAUCAGCCACACUGGAACUGAGACACGGUCCAGACUCCUACGGGAGGCAGCAGUGGGGGAAUAUUGGACAAUGGGCGCAAGCCUGAUCCAGCAAUGCCGCGUGUGUGAAGAAGGCCUGG